ACGUCGUAUCGUAUGUGCCAAACACUUAAGGAAUUUACAUUUACUGGGGCAAUGGAAUGGUGAUAACGGGUAUCAAAAGCAAAGUUGCCUACCUCCAAUUUUACGAAUACCUCAUUAGCAUUACCUCUUCCAAACACCCAUGUUGACCUUUCAACAAACAUAUUUUUCGCUUCUUUCUCAUUUCUAGGCCCUCUUCCUUCUUUGAAUCCCACUUUUGGAUGGAUAAUAGUUCAGGUGGGGCUGUCAUAGCUAUAUGCAGGGGUCCCAUUGUGCUAGCUGGCAGGCUUUGCACAAGAUUUUGCAGCUGAAAGAGGAAUUUGAGAAAAAUACAAGAUCCCAAUGAGUAUAAAAUAAAAGCACAGAAGGACACAA